UACGAAGGGGCUAGCGUUGCUCGGAAUCACUGGGCGUAAAGCGCACGUAGGCGGAUUCUUAAGUCGGUGGUGAAAGCCUGGAGCUCAACUCCAGAACUGCCUUCGAUACUGAGAGUCUUGAGUCCGGGGAGGUGAGUGGAACUGCGAGUGUAGAGGUGAAAUUCGUAGAUAUUCGCAAGAACACCAGUGGCGAAGGCGGCUCACUGGCCCGGUACUGACGCUGAGGUGGCGAAAAGCG
rnacentral:rRNA from 1 species